rnacentral:rRNA from 1 species
UGCCUACGGGAGGCAGCAGUGGGGAAUAUUGGACAAUGGGGGAAACCCUGAUCCAGCGACGCCGCGUGAGUGAAGAAGUAUUUCGGUAUGUAAAGCUCUAUCAGCAGGGAAGAAAAUGACGGUACCUGACUAAGAAGCCCCGGCUAACUACGUGCCAGCAGCCGCGGUAAUACGUAGGGGGCAAGCGUUAUCCGGAUUUACUGGGUGUAAAGGGAGCGUAGGCGGCUGUGUAAGCCAGA